CCGCAUCGCCGGACGGUCGAGUGAGGAGAACAUGCGGUGUCGAGUCAGGUGCGAGCGGCGUGUUCUCCUCACUCGACUGUCCGGGGGCGGGG
rnacentral:pre_miRNA from 1 species